rnacentral:lncRNA from 1 species
GAAAAGUCCCUUGGGAGGGCAGGAGGAGCUUGGGUUUCUCCGUCUCGCAUUGGAAGCUGCUGUGUCCACCUUCCUCUUUUCUAUUUUCUCCUCUUUGUUUUAGGAACAUCCUUCCCUCUCUCCCCACCCCAAAAUGCUAACAAGUUUUUAUUCACACAAUGGGACGCCGCAGAAUUUGCAUUAGUUCAAAGGAAAGCACUGCAGCGAGCGCCACAUUUCCAAUCAAACCACAUGAAAGGCAGAGCUGCAGAGGAGAGCAGAGGAGAAGCUGGCUGCAGACAAGGAGCUGUUUAAUCUCUAGAGGCCUGGAGCAAAUGAGGACACAGUAUGACACCAAUUGCUUAACUGCAAUGCUCCCUUGUGCCAGCCAGCUCGACAGACUGCUGCUGCCACCAAGCAUCACAUCCGACAUCUCUUCCCAAUUAAUACUUGAAAUCUCCAGCUACCUCGGCUUCCUGUGUCUCGUCUCAGAAGUAUUCCCUGCUCUUGUUGGUGUCAAUGGUUCGUUCCCAGACCAAGGACAGUCUUAAAACGGCAGUUCUGUUCCACUUUGUAUGAAAAAACAACAACCAAAAAACCAACCAAACACUCCCACAUUCCUGAGUCCCGUUGUUGCUAAGGCAUUUCGGAAUCACACACCUGAGCGGCUGCAACUGGACCUAUCCCCUUUGACUCCUCAGCAGACCUUCCAUCCUGAAAGGCACGGGGCGCAGGUAAACCUAACCCUGGCAUUCCCUUUUGAGAGCUGCAUCAAGAAUAAGCUAAUCGUCUUUAUUGCCUCUAUGUCUGAAUUAUACUGCAGCCUGAAUGAGGAGUUAAUUUGUAGGCAAAAUUAUAGGACAAUUGCCUCUAGCAGUAAAACGUUUUCCUGUAAUUACAGGGGAGUAAAUCACUCUGUAUCGGAACAGGCAGGUCCCUAGGCUCCGUUCUGUUGUCUUGCUUGGGUUUGGCUCAAGCAGGAUUGAAGAUGUGUAUUAAAAGAGCAGCAGAAGGAAAGAACAAACAAAUCUCCCCAUGUAAGUUGGCUUCUGUAAGGGACGAGGCAUGGCCACGGGGAUAGAAGUUUACAGUUCGAGGGACUGAUCCAAAGUCCAUUGGAGUCAAUGGAAGUCUUUCCAUUGGGAAUGUGCUGUAGCACACGUCCUGGGAACAUGUACGCCAUCAAAGCUGAUGUGGGGCUGAGAUGGAAGUGCCAGGCGCAGGUGGGCUGGGGAGACAAUGUUUGCAGGAGAAUUACACAGUGUGCUGCAUCGUGGGCAGACAGGAACAUGGCUGGCGUGAGCCCCCAGGGCUUCUCAGUGCAGUGUUUGAAUCCAGUGAGAGCACUCACACGUCAAUUAUUACAGACUGAACAUUUGCGUAGCAGUUGACAUCUUCCAAGCACUUUAAGCAUUAACAAUGAGUCCUCACAGCAGCUCUCUGAGACUGAGGUAGGUAGUCACCGUCCCCCUUUUAUACCUGGGAUGACCAAAGGAGAGAGGUGUGGUGACUUGUCCAAGGUCUCCAUAGGCUGAAGUCCAUGAGGCAAAG